UCCCUUUGCACAAAUAUUGAUCCAAGGCUGUUCAAAUAUCCAUCCUGGCUGGAAUAGCAGCAGUGUGAUAUUGCUGCUGGAGCUGCACAAGGACAUCGGAGGGGAAGGGAACGGGGAAAGAAAGGAGAGCUGGGUAGAGCUGCAGGUUGGCCAUCCGUGUUCUCGCCUUCUCCCCUCCCUUCACAGCUUAAAUUUCUCUUUAUUGACAUUUGUCUCACUGGGCCAAGCAAUCUUUCAAAGGAGAGGGAAGCAACAGCGUUGUUCCACCCUGGGCAUUCAUUAGACGAUAUUGUUUCAGCACUUGAGUUGUCUGAGCAGCCCGGGCAGCGUUUAGGAGAAGGUUAAAUAGAGCUGUUGAGUUCUGGGCAAAUAAAUCUCCCUUUGCCAGCUCGAAACAGAGGAGAACUCCUGCUCUCCUGCCUCUUGCCCAGAAGAAGAGCAGUCAGAGCAGCUCCUUUGCCGAGGGAACGUGAGCAGGGCUGGUUCUGUCCCUCAGCAGCACAAAACCAGUCAGGCUGAGGAGACGCUGAGGUUUUAACCCACCCCAGUGGGUUCUGAGCAUGCCCUGCUUGAGGCGAGACGCUCGCUCCCUCUGCCCGGUGGGCUCCAUCUCGCUCCACGCCAGGGCUCUCCAGAAUUCCUUCUCCGUCAAUAAUAAUGAGAAGCCUCUGUAAAUUAGCUGAUUAGUCAGCUCCCCCUAAUUAGCUAAUUACCCCGCUCUGCUUUCGCUUGUGCUCUCCCGUUGUUUCCCCAACCUCAGGUUGAAGGAACGAGCGCGCACGUGGCUGCGCCGAGAUCUUAUCCUGCUUUGAAGGCUUUAAACUUGCAUGAUUCAGCCGUGCAGGGCUGACACGUGCUCGACCUUACACAACUUCUCUCUUCCAACCCUUUUGUGUCGAGUGCUGUACCUGCCUCUUGUGCCAGGGACUGGGAGUCUCCAGUGCCGGCUUAUGCAACCGUUCCCUCCUCCGUCCCCGCUGCCAGCAGCUAUUCCCGUUAAACUCCGAUCCGUCUUCCUGCUCCGCGUGACAUCGCGCCGUUGCCUACGGAUCCGGCAGGUUUCCCCCAGAGCUGGAGGAGAGGGGAUGUGUUGUCUGGAGCUAGCGAGGUGUGAAGGCACGAUAGCAGCCGUGCAGGGUCAGACCAGGCGUUCCCCAAACACGAGAUCCCCGAUCCUGGGAUGUGUUCCUGGAAACCUGUGACAAAGAAGGCAACGAUUAGGCACGGAAAUAAUUUGGGCUACUGCCUGUGUUGGAGAUAACUCUCCGUAAGAGAUGCUGGCUCGGAUGUUUCUUUCUCUCCAUCCACAGGUGAGGAUAACUUCAAAACUUAAAUCCAGUACAGAAAGGCAGAGAGGGAAAGGUUUAAUUGUCCCAACUCUGCUGCAGGCUGAUAAGCUCCCAUUGAUUUUCUGUAGCCAAGUCUCCAGAGUGAACGUGGGUGAUGUUCAUGCAAGUGAGUGCGUGAAAGUUUC
rnacentral:lncRNA from 1 species